UAUCAAGGCAAAUGGUGUGCAUAAAAAUGGCCCGCCACCUGGACACAAAACGGGAUUGUGCGUGACAUGACCUUCUUGGAAUUUUCCUCCAUUUUAGUUGCGGUGGCGAUUUGGGGAUCGGAGCUGACUAAUAAAAGGCUGUGCUUCUGGUGCGACAAGAUGGCAGUGGUACAGGUUAUCAGUUGCCAAACUUCCAGAUCGCACAGGGUUAUUAAGUUGGUAAGGGCAUUUGUUCUAAAAUGCUUAAACUUCAACAUCUGCUUUUCUUCAAAGCAUAUGCCGGGCAUGGAUAAUGGCAUAGCAGUCGCCUUGUCUCAUUUUCAGGUUGAGAGAUUUCGUAAGCUUGCACCAGGGGCUAGCAGUGAACCUGAGCAGAUGCUGCUGGCUCUCUGGAACCUCGGAAUGUGUUGUGGUCCUUGUGGCACAUGUUCAGUGCAGGUACUCUAUAGGAAAGGCAGCCAGUGACCGGACAAAUGGCCUGGUAAAGGACUUAAAAGGAGGUACUGGAUAAUGAAACAGAACGGAGGAGGGGGUUGGGGACUCCUAUGAUUGGUACAGCUGGGAGCCAAUAACCUUCCCCUCCCAUUCUCAUAGCCCUCCUUAACCCUUUUACGAGGGUGGUGGAUAGUACGGUCCAAGCCAUGAGUCGGCUGGGGGACCUGGAUGGAAACAAAGGGGGGCUGGUGGAAGCCCCGGAAAAUUGAUUUCAAUAAGCAUAGAUUUUCCUGUAUUGUACACUUUAGCUGCUGGGUAGUCCCAGACAUCUAUAUAAUAAAGUUGCGGCCUGAUUAAAACCCAUAAUUAAUCUCCUGUUCUUCUUGCGGUGUACCCAGACAAUGAUUAGUAAUAGACUGAUGGUUUUUAAAAGGGCACAGUUGUUUCUACAACUUUGUGUCAUUUCAAAUAUGUAUUGGCUGGAUAAAGUGACCUCAUCAAACAUACCCAGUCUCACAGGGAGAACUGUGAUUCAGGGGGUUUCAUUGCCAGCAAACACAGUAAUGGAGAAAAAAACACAAGAUUAGGGUUGUGGUUACUUGGUUGGUUGGCUGGUUUUUGUUGUUCCUCCCUCCCCAACUUCCUUAACUUGGGAAUGAACUGAGUAUUCAAGAAAAAUCAGGAAAUAAUAGCACUGAUAAGUGCCAGGUACUAUGCAAGCUUCCUCAUACAGUAUUACUAAUGUAUCUACUUCCUGAUUGUCUGUAGUAAUCUUGUUGAUUCCAGAACAGAGAUACUAGUCAUGCAGUGAACAAAUGAAGAAUGGGAUGAGGCCAUCAAAAUCAUUUUGAUUUGUGACAUAUGAUUUGAACUCUGCUCUCCAGAGGUGAAAGGUCCAUGCACUGGAUCACCUAGACUUUGGAUAUUCUUUGAAUGUUGCAUUUUUAUUGCACUGAUAUCCUACAAAGAGUAACUGUGGAAGAAUGGACAAGAGACAGUUGACAUGUUCCAAACCUCAAGGCAAAGGAUAAGCAAAUGUCCUGCACAGAAGAUCAGCCAGCUGGCACUAUCUACUGCACCAGGCAUGUUUCCAAUUUAUAAAGUAGAAUAUUUAACUUACUGGUGCAAAACACUUACCUUAUUGCCAGCUAUGUGAAACAAAAUUAGUUAUAGUCAAUUUAGUUAUGUACAGAAAAUAGAAGUAUAAUCAAUCAAUUCAUUUAGAAUUAUUCCUUACACACCCUACCCCCAUUGAAUAAAGGAAACAACACAUCUCAUGAAUGAUUAUUUGUAAGGCGAAAGGAGAACACACAUACUGUCGUGAUUAGAUAAUCUCAAGGAGGGGAUAGCAAAAGACAAAGGAAACAGUGCACUGAAGGAAAUUCACAAAGAAAUGUUAAUACUUAUUGCCAGUACAUUUUGAGUUAGCUGUUCUGUUUUCUUUGCUACUUCUUACCAGCUGUACCUCUCAAAAGAUACUUUCUUUGCUUUUUUUUUCUCCUCUUUGAUGAGGAAAUUAAUCAUGUUGGGGGAUAUCUUCAAAAGCAUGAAGGCAUGCUAGAUGCCCAAAUUUCAAUGAAAGUCAUAUUUGCAACCUGGACAAUGUCUUACUAUAUGUUUUCUAAUGGAAUAACUUCCCAGAGAAGUAGUUUGUUUGUUCACUUGAAGAUGGUUUGUGUUUAUGUAUAGCCCUUUUAUCAGCAUAAAGUGAUCUCAAACAUC